rnacentral:lncRNA from 11 species
UGAAUCUUUCGGUUCCCUGGAGCAAAAACAGAUUUUUGCUUCCUGAAUUCGGGAGGCUCUCAAAAAACGGGUUGGGGCCCCCACCAAAACCUGGGACACUGAAAUGAAUUGUAGUUUACCCAGAUUGCUCGAACCUAUUAUAUACAGCAAUUUGAGUAUGAUAAUGAUGAUAAUGAAUGAACAUUUGAUGAUCAAAUGUCUUCAUUUCAAGGGAGA